GUCUUCGGAUUUAGAGACCGGCGCACGGGUGCGUAACGCGUAUGCAAUCUACCUUUUACAGAGGGAUAGCCCAGAGAAAUUUGGAUUAAUACCUCAUAGUAUUAUGAAAUGGCAUCAUUUUAUAAUUAAAGUCACAACGGUAAAAGAUGAGCAUGCGUCCCAUUAGCUAGUUGGUAAGGUAACGGCUUACCAAGGCUACGAUGGGUAGGGGUCCUGAGAGGGAGAUCCCCCACACUGGUACUGAGACACGGACCAGACUCCUACGGGAGGCAGCAGUGAGGAAUAUUGGACAAUGGGCGCAAGCCUGAUCCAGCCAUGCCGCGUGCAGGAUGACGGUCCUAUGGAUUGUAAACUGCUUUUAUACGAGAAGAAACACUGCUUCGUGAAGCAGCUUGACGGUAUCGUAAGAAUAAGGAUCGGCUAACUCCGUGCCAGCAGCCGCGGUAAUACGGAGGAUCCAAGCGUUAUCCGGAAUCAUUGGGUUUAAAGGGUCCGUAGGCGGUUUAGUAAGUCAGUGGUGAAAGCCCAUCGCUCAACGGUGGAACGGCCAUUGAUACUGUUAGACUUGAAUUAUUAGGAAGUAACUAGAAUAUGUAGUGUAGCGGUGAAAUGCUUAGAGAUUACAUGGAAUACCAAUUGCGAAGGCAGGUUACUACUAAUGGAUUGACGCUGAUGGACGAAAGCGUGGGUAGCGAACAGGAUUAGAUACCCUGGUAGUCCACGCCGUAAACGAUGGAUACUAGCUGU
rnacentral:rRNA from 2 species